rnacentral:RNase_MRP_RNA from 1 species
CCCUCGUCCGACAAAUCGCCAUCGAAGCUCACAAACGGAGAUUUCCUUUGCGGGAGUCUCAGCCGAAAGCUUUGGGAGAAAGUCCCCGGACACACGUUACUUUCCUUUCCAGGGAAGCCAAAACGCCGCGGAAACGCGCCGCCAUAGAAGCACAGCGGCUGACCUCCAAGACCUGCGUCCGGACACAAUGGGCUCUUUCACACCCCGCCCCGUCGCUACAUCGUGGGUCUUCUCUACCUUUCAAGACCCGAGUUUCAGCUUUCCAGGACCUUUUGGAUGAAGAUAUGAGUCCGCGUCUGGAGAGUUGGGGCUUGGGAUCCUUGGGAUGGAUGGGGGAGCCUUUGAUGGCGGGGUGGCCGUUUGGGAGGGCGCGCUUGCCGGGCGAAUUCAAGGGUUCGUCGGAGGGUCUUUCGUCGAGAUCGAUAGGUAUGCGAUUGCCCGUCCACAACCUCUUUACUGAGGUUUGGACGUGUUACUCGAUGGGGCUUAUUCUUGGUGCGAGG